rnacentral:misc_RNA from 1 species
GUUACUGGUUCCAUACACCACAAAAUGCUUACAAAUCUACAGUUCACAAGAAUCCGCGGAUCAUAUGAAGGAGGGAGGAACUACAACAGACGCACUUCUGUUACUAAUCUAAACAAACAAAAUAUACAAAAUGAAGACACAAGACUACAACAAAAACCGAGCUGCAACACAGGAUCGGUUCGUCGGGUAAGUUAAUGCCAACUUACUACACUAGAGCUGUACAAUGCCUAAGAGAACUGCUAUUGAUGCAUAUCAGUUACCUCUAGACCGCAGCUACACAAACUAUGGGAAUGCACAUUCUUGUCCUUGCUCCCUACCUUUUAAUAAACCUGUGACCUACCAUUUUCUAUGUGGUAAACUGUACUUCAUAAACUUAUUAAUGUUACUGUUAAUGGUAUCAUCUUCCUAGGAUGACGGUAUUUGGAUUGAUGCUACUUGCUCUCCAGGAUGCUGCAUCGCUACAAAUCAUCAGUCAUUCACAUGAUAGCCUUUCUGCUGGUUUACUUCCCUCCAGCCGACUUCCCUGCUCGUUGUUUCCACGUGCUAAGUAGCUCAUCGUCGGAUAAUUCUUCAUCAGAUUUGGCAGCCGAGCUACUUCCAGAGUCGCCUUGAUCAGUUGAAUGACUGUCUGCAUCAUCUCUUACACUCCCAUGAGAAUCUGAUCUUUCAGCAUCAUCAUUUGACUUCUCUGUGGAACCAUCUGCAUGUGGUUUCUCAUGUGAAGAAGAGAUCUCCCUGUCUGAUCCACGAGAAUCCUGAGGGGUGCCAAGUUCAUCCUCAUCUUUAUUUUCCACGGGACAUUCUUCUUCUUCAGACUCCUCCAUACCACUCAAUCUAUCAGCAUCAGCCCCGGGUUUCCCAUCAAAGUAUGCUAUGUCAUCCUUGUCAGACAGUUCAUGUUCAGACAAGCUGAACUCAUGCGUGCUUUCUUUCUGCUCACUUUCUGAUUCACCUGAGCUUAAAUUGUCCGCCUUGGACUUUGAGGUUAUCAACGGCUUGCCUAAAAGCAGGCUUCUUCUGCUCAAAGAAGAUUUUGAUGGACCUUUUUGUCCAUACUUCAAAUUCUUCCUUGGAGUUCUCUUCCCUCGUACUGGCGAUAAUGGAGACAUCUUAUCGGUCUCCUUCUUUUGCCUGGAGGCAGCAAGAGUUCUUUUUUUCCUCUCUCCAGAUUCUUUCUUGGAGCCUGAACCCUUUUUGGAAUUUGAACCCUUCACAGGUUUCUGCACACCACCAACAAGCUCCCAACACUCCUUUUCCAAUCGCAGGACUUCUACAUCACCAUCAUCAUAUAGCACAACGUGUUUGCUUUUAUGAGUGUCAAAAGACUUGACAACACCUUCGUAGAAUUUCUUAUCCAUGGGCCACCAAAUUUUUAUUCUGCAACCAAUCAAGUCCACAGUGGGAGUUGUAUCAACCUUUGCCGUGCACUUAGCCAGUCCAGAUACACUUUUCUUCUUUGAUUUCUUAUGAGAUCCAGACUUGUUAUUACCUUGCAUAUGUGUAUUAACUGCUUCUCUGUUUCCUUUAAUUUUUUUCACUUCACGGCUGUCCAUUCCAAUUUCACAAGUGUCAUCAUGAUUCUUAUCAGUAGCUUUACGCUUUUGUCUAGGUGGGAGACUUGUUUUCUUCCUGAUAGAUGAUGUUAAUAGGUCCGACUCUUCAGGUUCAAAAACAUUUUCCUCCGAGGACUUAUCUUCUGACAUGGAUUGAAGAUCCUCCUCCUUUUCAAUGGACUCCUCGAGUUUCGAAGAAAGUUUAUGGACUGAAGAAGAAGAUGACCUUUGUCGCUUUGCACCUUUUGGUACAGAAAUAUCAGUUCCUCUUUUCUGACGUUUAUUGCUGGCUUUAGUUUUGACUGCAGAUUCAUGGCCAUUGCUUGCAUCCAACUUAUUAUCAUCAACAACAUUAUUUGAAUCUAUCUCCCUCACCAUUUUCAAGAUGUCAACAUCAUUUUCAGUUCUCACCUCAGCAGGUGAAGAGUCGUCCUUCAACUCUUUCCUCAUCUUAGAUCUAGCUUUAAGCCGUUCCAUUAUUUUUCCUAAAGGAACCUCAUUUCCUUCAGUUUCACUGUCUUUCAUGGUUUCGUCUUCAGUGAUCUCUGACUUCAGUGUUCCGUUAGUUUCAAACUUGAUUGAUUCAAAGUGAGCCAUGAUGCCCUCAUCUGCCAACCAUGUCUUAACUUCAACCAGAGACUGGUCUUUCUCUUCAUUCUUCUCAUGUUGUUUGUAUAGCGAUGGAGGUAGUGAUACUGAUGCUUUCAACUCCUUAAGAUCAUCAUGGUUAGGAACUAACCGAUUUGUAAUUGCCAGGCCAAGGUCUGAGACAGCAUAUGAGUUCUUUGAUUUUGUGGAAUCUACUGCAUCUUCUGAAUGUUUUAUACUGUGAAGGAUAGACUUAAUCGUUGAAAUGCUUUCCUUCUCUCUGCUAAUACCACCUUCAGGUUUCCCCUCUUCAUCUCCAUGCACCAACAUUGAGAGGAAAACGUACAAUUGCCUAUAAGUAGGCUCAAAUGCUUUAACA